UACGAAGGGUGCAAGCGUUACUCGGAAUUACUGGGCGUAAAGCGGUGCGUAGGUGGGUUUGUUAAGUCUGUUGUGAAAGCCCCGGGCUCAACCUGGGAAUGGCAAUGGAUACUGGCAAGCUAGAGUGCGGUAGAGGGUAGUGGAAUUCCCGGUGUAGCGGUGAAAUCGUAGAGAUCGGGAGGAACACCAGUGGCGAAGGCGGCUACCUGGACAGCACUGACACUGAGGCACGAAAGCGUGGGGAGCAAACAGG
rnacentral:rRNA from 1 species